rnacentral:rRNA from 1 species
UAGGGAAUCUUGGACAAUGGGCGAAAGCCUGAUCCAGCCAUGCCGCGUGAGUGAUGAAGGCCUUAGGGUUGUAAAGCUCUUUCGCCAGGGAAGAUAAUGACGGUACCUGGAUAAGAAGCCCCGGCUAACUUCGUGCCAGCAGCCGCGGUAAUACGAAGGGGGCUAGCGUUGUUCGGAAUUACUGGGCGUAAAGCGCACGUAGGCGGCUUUCCAAGUUGGAGGUGAAAUCCCCGGGCUUAACCCGGGAACUGCCUCCAAAACUGAAAGGCUAGAGUCCGAGAGAGGUGAGUGGAACUUCCAGUGUAGAGGUGAAAUUCGUAGAUAUUGGAAAGAACACCAGUGGCGAAGGCGGCUCACUGGCUCGGUACUGACGCUGAGGUGCGACAGCGUGGGGAGCAAACA